rnacentral:misc_RNA from 1 species
UAAUAAGUGUUUUAUGGCACUUUUUAAAUCCACAUCCACCUUGUGUGCAAUGUCAGUCGAUCUUCUUCAUUGGAGAUCGACCAAACAUCAACCUUUAUCUUUUAACUCUUUGUCUGAAAAAUAUUAUGAAUAAACAAUUCAAAAUA